UACGGAGGGUGCAAGCGUUAAUCAGAAUUACUGGGCGUAAAGCGCGCGUAGGCGGUUUGAUAAGUCGAUUGUGAAAUCCCCGGGCUCAACCUGGGAAUUGCAGUCGAGACUGUCAGACUAGAGUGUGGGAGAGGGUGGUGGAAUUCCCGGUGUAGCGGUGAAAUGCGUAGAUAUCGGGAGGAACAUCAGUGGCGAAGGCGACCGCCUGGCCCAACACUGACGCUGAGGUGCGAAAGCGUGGGUAGCAAACAGG
rnacentral:rRNA from 1 species